CCGGCCUGAUCUUAGACUUUUAAGUUUUAUAUAUUUUAGAAUUGUUGGAAAUGCUUACAAUAGGCAGGUAUUUUUGUGGUUAAAAGUUGUUUGGAGUUUUUGUUGUUGUUGUUGUUUUAUGAAAUUUGUUGUUUUACAUUUGAGGAGCUUGGGUAUCUCCCGUCUAGAUUUCUAAAGUAGAUAAAAGCUAGCUAUAGGGAUUGAGGUUUUAAUUAGAGUUUAGCCAAAGGUAAGUGAUGAGGAGGAAAAAUCUUUGGGAUGGGAAGUAAGCAAUUUGCAUUCUGAUCUUGACUGGCUGUGACAUCUGGGCCGUCGUUUUACUUCUUUGGGCCUUAGUUUCCUUGUCUGUAAGACUAAAAUUUGCACUGGACAGUCCCUUCCAGCCUGACAUUCUGUAAAUUUAUAAAUUGCCUCUCUGAGAUUGAGGGGAAAUUCUUAUUUAUCUUUGUAACUCCUCUUCUAACACAUAGUGCUUAUUAAUACUUGUUAAGAAAUGAGUGAGUGAUGUGUGAGGACGGUAAGGCAGCUGUGAUAUCCAUUUUGACAUCGCAGAAUUUACAUGAUGUCUUUAAAGAUCAUAUUGCUAAGUAGCAUAAGGGCUAGGUUUCCUGUUCGGUGUCUGAAUAUGCUGCAGAAAAUCUGGAUCCUGAAAAAGUAGAGAGAGCAAUUCUCUCUCCCAACACUGUGGAGGCAGCCUGUCAGCCCACAACUGCUGCUGCAGAAUUUAAAGGAAACCAAAAAUGUGAGAGCAGGGUACUGCAAGAUAAGUCUAAAAAUAUACACCUGCACAACGUGAGAGGAAGCUGCGCUAGGAUCAGAAGGACGUCCAUGCAUCAUGGUACUAAAUAAAGCUGACAGACUGCCCUCUUUGGGUGGCAUCUCAUCUAACCCACAACAUCAGCAAUCCAGACACAGGGUCACAGCCAGCCUGCAGUGAGCCAUCUGUCACGUGCUCCUAUGACAAUCCACAAGAAAAAGUUCUCCUGGCAAUCAAACAAGUUCCAAGGACAUUUACACACAAUCCUCAGUCCACUCUUAAAAUAGCUGCACAUUUUCACAAGGGAUAUCUUUUCAUUCAUGAUGCACUUCUUAUCCAAUAUUGAGCUUCGCAUGCUUCCCAUGGAACAGAGGCUGUCUCAAUUUAUUCUAUUCUAAUGGUAACUUGACCCCUUGCCUAGGCUGCGAGUUCUUAAUUAAGUAGCAGCCAACACAAAUCUCUUGACUGUAUUGCCCCUCCCGCAGGCAGAACUUCGGGGCAAAGAAAGUCUUGGGCUUCAAUAUACAAUGGUUCCUAGAUUUGUGCCAUCCUGUCUGAUCUGCUCAGACAACUGAAUUUGGGAAAGAAAGUUUCAUAGACUUAGACAUAGGGGCCUAAUGAAGCAGAACGGUCAAAACGAGGUCUCUAAAGCUGGCUUAAGACAGACACAACUACACACAAUA
rnacentral:lncRNA from 10 species